rnacentral:lncRNA from 1 species
UAAAACUCUGCAGUAUUCUCCUUGUGCAAUAAUCUAAAAGGUGAUGGAAAUUCAGAUCUUACUUUCUCUCUCUUUUUUUUUUUUUUUUAAUUUUAUUUUAAAUAGAAUGAAGUAACUCAUGGCCAUUUACUUCUGGUAAUAAUAAGAAGUAAUCAUUCUAACUGAUUAAAGUGAAAUACUCUAGUAUUCAAAAAUCCAGCUUGACUGUAGAUGUAAGUACAUGGGCUUGUAAUGAAUUCUGCAUGUGGCCAUGGAUUUAUUGAAUCGUAACUGUGGAUGGUGCUUUUGUUCUCGUGGCAAGGUAAGAUUGACUUGAGGAUCAUUCUUGAGAAAUAUCUACUAGAAUUAUGCAUUAUUUUUAACUGCCAAAAGUUGUAUUUUGACAGCAUAAAUAAUACAGUAUUAAACAUUAUGUCAUUAGUAUCUGUGCCUUAUUUUAAAUGAAUUUUCUUACUAUUUUCAGGCAGCUACAAGAUUUAUAAGAACAGGAUUCUGGUGUCUCCAUUAUGAAAUGAUUUUUCUGUCAUGAUCUUGAACUGAUUUAAACUAUUCACACUGACAUUCAAGCUCAGGUGCCUGUAUGCUCUUUAGUUCUCAAAUAGGAAGGACUUGGUUUUGCUAUAAUAGAAUGUAGGCGUAUGAUAGCUGCUCAAAGGUAACAUGAGUAAAAUGUCUUAAUAGCUAUGUAACUCCAGGAAAUCUGUGUAGUUGUCUCAGUGAAUCUAAGAAUUAAGAUUAUGAACAGUCAUGUGCACAAAUGCUAAUUUUAUGUGAUAAUUUCUCAAACUGCUGUUUCUAGGAGUGUCAAAAGAUCCAGAGAGAAUUAAUACUUUAUCCUGUAUGGUUUUGUGAUGCAGAAGCAUGAAUGUACUUGAGGAUAAAGGGUGACUCUGCAAAGCUGUUCUUCAUGUUAUACCCCUUGAUACAAAAUUAAUGUCUUUGAAAAAACUUUGGAAAAUUAAUGUCUUUUGCCUCCAUGUUCCUUGAGAGUACUUGAGGCUGUUUUGCUGAAAAGGCUUUUAUUUGAAGCAUGACCUAGGACUUACUCAUCCCCUAUGCUGAAAUUAAAGAAGCCUUCUGGUAAACUGCCUCUUUCUGCAUAGGUAAAAAAUCCUCCAAUGUUCUGUUGAUGUAAGAGUCAGGGUUUAGGUAUUGCUGAUAGCUUGCUGAAGAGUGGAGAUGGAAAAACCUACCCCAUUAAUUAGCUGAGUACAAAGAAGCUCGUGUAUCUUGACAAUUAUAUAUAGCUCCAUUUUUAAGGAGUUCCACUUAUUUCUUAGUGAAGAGUACUCUGCAACAAAAAAAAACAACAACAACAACAAAAAACAAAAAAAAAAA